CUACGGGGGGCUCCAGUGGGGAAUAUUGCGCAAUGGGCGAAAGCCUGACGCAGCAACGCCGUGUGAGGGAUGAAGGCUUUCGGGUCGUAAACCUCUGUCAGAAGGGAAGAACGGGUAUUGGUCUAAUAGGCCUUUAUUUUGACGGUACCUUCAGAGGAAGCACCGGCUAACUCCGUGCCAGCAGCCGCGGUAAUACGGAGGGUGCAAGCGUUAUGCGGAAUUACUGGGCGUAAAGCGCACGUAGGCCGCUUUGUAAGUCAGGGGUGAAAUCCCACGGCUCAACCGUGGAACUGCCUUUGAAACUGAAGAGCUUGAAUCCUGGAGAGGGUGGCGGAAUUCCUGGUGUAGGAGUGACAUCCGUAGAUAUCAGGAGGAACACCGGUGGCGAAGGCGGCCACCUGGACAGGUAUUGACGCUGAGGUGCGAAAGUGUGGGGAGCAAACAGGAUUAGAUACCCUCGUAGUC
rnacentral:rRNA from 1 species